GUUUACCCUGAAAUUACCCAAAUAAGUGAACGGUCCCUUUAAGGAGGAAAGGGCCAACAAUUUAUUUUAUCUAUGUGUUUAAUCAUAAUCCAAAAUCCCAUUACUUUUUCAGUACUUUUUAGUUUUUGUGUCUGUCUCAAAAUAACUAGAAAGGAGAAAGAUAAUUAAAACAGAAAAAGUGCCAUGCUUACAUAGUGUAUUAUAUGAGAGAAAUUUAACAACCUUAUAUUCAUAAGGACUAAAUAAUGUUCAUCCCGAUCCAGAUAUUAAGCGAUGUACAUUACAAAUAAUUUAUUAAUAAUUAAAAGAUAGCAAACAAAUAUCGAUAUGAAGAUGAUAGGGAACUUGAGCUACAAUAAAAUUUUAACCAACUCUUCAGUCUUUCUUCACUCCUUGGUUUGAAAGGUCAUCGUCAACUAACUCUAGUUUCUGUACUGGUUGACCAGCUCACCCCUCUCGAGAUUCCCUGAUCCCUCCAAAAUACCAGAAAGUUAAGAAGUUCUGGAGAAAACCAAAAAAGGGGUGGAGGCGGGUCCUUCUUCAUUUUGAGAUAGGGGAAUUUGCCAGGAUAAUCAGUUAGCAAGUGAAGCUGACAAAUUUUACAAGGUAUAUUUUCUAACAAUUAUCAAAAACAUCAAAGAGUAGCGUAUUCAGAGGGGUCAGUAAUUCUCUGACCCAUUUUACCUUCCCAGGGUUGAAUUAAAAAGCCUAGCAUAAAUCAAAGAUACUCAUAUAUUUUUGGCAUUUAUACGUUAUAUUUUUAUUUUUAAACCUUGUGUAAAGUAGCUUGAUUUGAUUAAAAAUUACUACAAUAUACUUUUACUGGUCAUAACAUUUUCCAUGAAUUAAUAUAGUAAAUCCCUUAAAUGGCCUAAUCUUGCUGUAGUCAUUUUGUUCUAAUUGGGCUUUUCAUUAAUGUCUAAUUUAUUAUAUUUUGAACCUUUUUUGCUUUUGCAUUUUUUUUGCUUAAUAACUUGAUAUUGUAAUAAAAUUUAGCAAAGGGGAAUGUCCACAUUUCCGUACAAAGGGUGGGGGGGGGCUUCUGACUUUGUUUUAGAGAUUUCUCUCUGA